GGCUUCCAUGAAGAGGGAUGCUGAGCAUUAUUCACGCCAACUAGUUGUAUGCCAGCUGCCAAGUUAAUGCGAGGUCUGAUUUGGUGAGAAAUGGCUGGUUGGUGUUGGAGAAGCUUCUUUCAUAAGUCUUGCAGGUCCAUUUAUUGACGACAAUGCUCCCAUUUCUCAGAGAACUGCCUGGCUUGCAACAUUUUAUAUGUGCAUACCCACUGGAAUUGCUGUUGGAUAUGUUUAUGGUGGA